rnacentral:lncRNA from 1 species
GGGAAGAGGCUGGCAUAGAGUUCCCAGGGGGUACCCAGCAGACAGACAGCUCUGUAAUUUGGGGGAGAAGAAGAGUUGUCCUUUUUGUGUACUGGAUAGGCUGUGCUCUGAGCCCGUUCCAUGAAUUAAGAUCACUCAGUUACUUUGCAAGGAAGGAGUCCAGAACAUCAACCAGAAGAGGGUAUAAAUAAUUCUGGAGGGAAAAGAGCAUCUUUCCAGGAACCUCUGCAUCUGAAGGGCACCACUGUCUUGCCCAACCGGGCCUCAGUGCUCUAUGAUCCUGAGUGUUGGGAGACUCCCCUGACAGUUCGACUCUGGCCACUUCCUGGACAAGGACAGAAACUUCAUGGUCAGUGAAGCCUUCCUGCCAUUCUCUUUCCAGCUGCAAGAGGGGAGCCCAGGGCUCAGGGUGGAGCACAUCUUUGGGAGCAUUCUACAGUGCCAGCCCCAGAGGAUCUCUGCAAUGUCCUGUCUGAGCUGCCUCAGCCCAGGUCCUAGGGAGGAGGGCCUGGAGCCAGGGGUGGUCUGGAGACCUGUUGCACACAAAGUCUUUCCUCAGUCUCUCUCACUUCCUGCAAAGUUGGAAAAGAGGAAGAACAGGGGUUAACCUAGCUCAGCUGCUCAUGGUUCCCCCUUAGACAAGCUCUGGGGAGUGACACUGGAGAGUAGACUUAGUAAAGAUUCUACAAAGGAAGCUCAGUUUCGGCAGCUUAGUUCCUAGGUUAGGCUAGUUAUGUUUUGGAAGGGAAAGAUUUUACAAGGUUAGUUAAGGUUCGGCAUUGAAUCACUUCACAAGAUUAAUUUGGGGAGUCGAGCCUCACAAGGUAGCAGCUAACUAAGUUCAGAGGGAAAGACGUUGGAACAAAACUGUAAACCUAACAAUAUGUGCAAACACUGUUGAUGCUGGAGCUGCCGGUAAACCAAAAACCCGGCAGCUGAUUUUCUGCCCUCUCCUGCCCUCUCCUGACCAGACAGAGGAAGUGCAGGUCCCUGCAGACCUAGCGCUUGGAAAGAGCUGGGUCUCUGUAUUGGGCAAAGUCAGAAGCCAAGGCAACUGUUUCCAGCAAAUUGCCC